AGUUCGAUCAUGGCUCAAGAUUGAACGCUGGCAGGAUGCCCCACAUACAGUCGAACGGCAGCCUGGACUUCUACGUGGUCUGGUGGCGAGUGGCGAACAGGUGGUAAUGUAUCGGAACGUGCCUAGUGGCGGAUAACUGCGCGAAAGCGUAGCUAAUACCACGCAUACGCCCUUCGGGGGAAAGCGGGGGACCUUCAGGCCUCGCACUGACCGACGGCCGAUAUCGGAUUAGCUAGUUGGUGGGGUAACGCAGCUCACCAAGGCGACGAUCCGUAGCUGGUUUGAAGGACGACCAAUACACUGGGACUGAGACGGCCCAGACUCCUACAGGAGGCAGCGGUGGGGAAUUUUGGACAAUGGGAAACCUGAUCCAGCCAUCGCGUGUGCGAUGAAGGCCUUCGGGUUGUAAAGCACUUUUGGCAGGAAAGAAACGGCACGGGAUAAUACCCCGUGCAGCAUGACAGUACCUGCAGAAUAGCGCGGCCCCAACUACGUACCUUGAAAACUAGCCGCGGUAAUACGUAAGUGCAAAGCGUGGCGAGAAAUCGGAAUUACUGGGCGUAAAGCGUGCGCAGGCGGUUCCGGAAAGAAGAUGUGAAAUCCCAAAGCUUAACUUUGAACUGGCACGCUACCGAGCUAGAAGACGGCCAAUGGGAGAUUGGAAUUCCGCGUGUAGCAGUGAAAUGCGUAGAUAUGCGGAGGAACACCGAUGGCGAAGGCAGGCAGCCUCCUGGGAUAACACUGGCGCUCAUGCACGAAAACUGAUGAGGUAAACAGAGUUAGAUACCCUGGUAGUCCACGCCCCUAAACGAUAUCAACUAGCUGUUGGAGCCUUCGGGCCUUGGUAGCGCAGCUAACGGCGUGAAGUUGACCGCCUACUGCGGAAGAUACGGUCGCAAGAUUAAAACUCGGAAUUGACGGGGACGCACAAGCGGUGGAUGAUGUGAAUUAAUUCGAUGCAACGCGAAAAACCUUGCCUACCCUUGACAUGGAAUCCCGAAGAGAUUUGGGAGUGCUCGCAAGAGAACCGGAACACAGGUUGCUGCAUGGCUGUCGUCAGCUCGUGUCGUGGAUGUUGGGUUAAGUCACAACAGGCGCAACCCUUGUCAUUAGUUGCUACGAGGCACUCUAAUGAGACUGCCGGUGACAAACCGGAGGAAGGUGGGAUAGGCGUCAAGUCCUCCUUGGCCCUUAUGGUGGGGCUUCACACGUCAUACAAUGGUCGGGAUUGAGGUCGCCAACCCGCGAGGGGCCAAUCCCAGAAACCCGAUCGUAGUCCGGAUCGCAGUCUGCAACUCGACUGCGUGAAGUCGGAAUCGCUAGUAAUAAUCGCGGAUCGGCAUGUCGCGGUGAAUACGUUCCCGGGUCUUGUACACACCGCCCGUCACACCAUGGGAGUGGGUUUUACCAAGUAGUUAGCCUAACCGUAAGGAGGGCGUUACCACGGUAGGAUUCAUGACUGGGGGUGAAGUCGUAACGGGUAGCUCUGUUACUACCAAUG
rnacentral:rRNA from 1 species